GUCCGCACCGUAAACGAUGAUUACUCGUUGUUGGCGAUAUGACAGUCAGCGACCAAGCGAAAGCGAUAAGUAAUCCACCUGGGGAGUACGCCGGCAACGGUGAAACUCAAAGGAAUUGACGGGGGCCCGCACAAGCGGAGGAGCAUGUGGUUUAAUUCGAUGAUACGCGAGGAACCUUACCUGGGCUUGAAAGUUAGUGACCGGUUCUGAAAGGAAUCUUUCCGCAAGGACACGAAACUAGGUGCUGCAUGGCUGUCGU
rnacentral:rRNA from 1 species